rnacentral:rRNA from 1 species
CUCUAAGGGCAUUUGGUGGAUGCCUUGGCGUUGAGAGGCGAUGAAGGACGUGACACGCUGCGAUAAGCCAUGGGGAGCUGCGAGUAAGCUUUGAUCCGUGGAUUUCCGAAUGGGGAAACCCGGCCAUUUAGGUCAUCCCGCAAGGGAAGCGAACCUGGGGAACUGAAAUAUCUAAGUACCCGGAGGAAAGGACAUCAACCGAGACUCCGUUAGUAGUGACGAGCGAACGCGGACCAGGCCAGUGGCUUGAUAGAAGAUAACCAGAAGCGUCUGGAAAGGCGCGCCAUAGUGGGUGAUAGCCCCGUAUGGGUAAUGCUUUCUUCAAGUCCUUGAGUAGGGCGGGACACGUGAAAUCCUGUCUGAACAUGGGGGGACCACCCUCCAAGCCUAAGUACUCCUCAACGACCGAUAGCGAACCAGUACCGUGAGGGAAAGGUGAAAAGCACCCCGAUGAGGGGAGUGAAAUAGACCUGAAACCGAAUGCCUACAAUCAGUCGGAGCCACAUUAAGUGGUGACGGCGUACCUUUUGUAUAAUGGGUCAGCGAGUUAUUGUCAGUAGCAAGGUUAACCGUUUAGGGGAGCCGUAGGGAAACCGAGUCUUAAUAGGGCGAAUUAGUUGCUGGUAAUAGACCCGAAACCGGGCGAUCUAGCCAUGGCCAGGUUGAAGGUGCCGUAACAGGCACUGGAGGACCGAACCCACCUAUGUUGAAAAAUGGGGGGAUGAGCUGUGGCUCGGAGUGAAAGGCUAAUCAAGCUCGGAGAUAGCUGGUUCUCCUCGAAAACUAUUUAGGUAGUGCCUCAUGUCUCACCACUGGGGGUAGAGCACUGUUUCGGCUAGGGGGUCAUCCCGACUUACCAACCCGAUGCAAACUCCGAAUACCAGUGAGUUUUAUCACGGGAGACAGACGGCGGGUGCUAACGUCCGUCGUCAAGAGGGCAACAACCCAGACCACCAGCUAAGGUCCCUAAUAUCAGUUAAGUGGGAAACGAUGUGGGAAGGCUUAGACAGCUAGGAGGUUGGCUUAGAAGCAGCCAUCCUUUAAAGAUAGCGUAACAGCUCACUGGUCUAAAUAAGUUGUCUUGCGGCGAAGAUGUAACGGGGCUCAAGCCAUGAGCCGAAGCUGAGGAUGCACAUAGUGCAUGGUAGCGGAGCGUAGUGU